rnacentral:rRNA from 1 species
ACGGAGGCAGCAGUGGGGAAUAUUGGACAAUGGAGGCAACUCUGAUCCAGCGACGCCGCGUGAGUGAAGAAGUAUUUCGGUAUGUAAAGCUCUAUCAGCAGGGAAGAUAAUGACGGUACCUGACUAAGAAGCCCCGGCUAACUACGUGCCAGCAGCCGCGGUAAUACGUAGGGGGCAAGCGUUAUCCGGAUUUACUGGGUGUAAAGGGAGCGUAGGCGGCCAGACAAGUCAGAUGUGAAAACCCGGGGCUCAACUCCGGGACUGCAUUUGAAACUGCCAGGCUUGAGUGCAGGAGAGGCAAGUGGAAUUCCUAGUGUAGCGGUGAAAUGCGUAGAUAUUAGGAAGAACACCAGUGGCGAAGGCGACUUGCUGGACUGAGACUGACGCUGAGGCUCGAAAGCGUGGGGAGCAAACAGGAUUAGAUACCCUGGUA